GAUGAAGAACGCAGCGAAAUGCGAUAAGUAAUGUGAAUUGCAGAAUUCAGUGAAUCAUCGAAUCUUUGAACGCACAUUGCGCCCGCCAGUAUUCUGGCGGGCAUGCCUGUUCGAGCGUCAUUUCAACCAUCAAGCCCCAGGCCUGUGUUGGGGACCUGCGGCUGCCGCAGGCCCUGAAAACCAGUGGCGGGCUCGCUGUCACACCGGGCGUAGUAGAUUUUAUCUCGCUCAGGGCGUGCUGCGGGUUCCGGCCGUUAAAAAGCCUUUUUUACCCAAGGUUGACCUCGGAUCAGGUAGGAAGACCCGCUGAACUUAAGCAUAUCAAUAAGCGGAGGA
rnacentral:misc_RNA from 1 species